AUGGAGGGCAUCUUCCCCUUCUUCUGCUCGGCCAUCAGGAGGCGGAGGCCGAGGCCGCCGGACCGCUACGGGCGCCUCGCCGUCCCCGCCGGCGCGGCGGGUGGGCUUGGGCGGGAGCACGAGAGCUUGGCCGGCAGCGGGCACUACCAGUACUCUCAGAGCUGCAGGUUCCCCGUCCGACGUCCCGGGGCGGACGAGCUCGGCCUCGGCAACGACGACGACCGGCCGCCACCAGAGGACCUCUCCGGCGAGCUAUCCCCGGCGUCCGGCGGCCGGGACGGCGGGCGCGGGCUGUCCAGGUCCAGGAGGUUCGGUAGCAUGCGCAUGUUGGCGUCGUGUAUCGGCGGCCCGUGA
rnacentral:rRNA from 1 species